GCCGUAACUAUAACGGUCCUAAGGUAGCGAAAUUCCUUGUCGGGUAAGCUCCGACCUGCACGAAUGGCGUAAUGAUGGCCAGGCUGUCUCCACCCGAGACUCAGUGAAAUUGAACUCGCUGUGACGAUGCAGUGUACCCGCGGCAAGACGGAAAGACCCCGUGACCCUUUACUAUAGCUUGACACUGAACAUUGAGCCUUGAUGUGUAGGAUAGGUGGGAGGCUUUGAAGUGUG
rnacentral:rRNA from 1 species